rnacentral:rRNA from 1 species
CCCUUAGAUGUUCUGGGCCGCACGCGCGCUACACUGUUCGACGCAGCGAGUCUUAACCUUGACCGAAAGGUUUGGGUAAUCUUCAGCAAAGUCGAACGUGAUGGGGAUCGAUCAUUGCAAUUAUUGAUCGUGAACGAGGAAUUCCUAGUAAGUGCAAGUCAUCAGCUUGCGCUGAUUACGUCCCUGCCCUUUGUACACACCGCCCGUCGCUGCUACCGAUUGAAUGGUUUAGUGAGAUCUCUGGAUUGACGCUGGCUAGGGGGCGACCCUUGGCCAGGCUGUCGAGAAACUGCUCAAACUUGAUCAUUUAGAGGAAGUAAAAGUCGUAACA